AAAGGUUAGGGAAGUAUAUGUGGUUAGGGUUAGGGGAAUAUAAAAAUAAUAUCAAUACAACUUUUCUAUGUAGCACCAUGGUUCACAAAUUCUAGCAUGAAUCAGAAUCACCUGGAGGACUUACAAAACACAGCUUGCUGGGCCCUACCCCCAGAGAUUUUCAUUCAUAAGUCUGCAUUGGGGCCUAAGUAUUUGCAUAUUUAACAAGUUUCUAGGUGUUGCCAUUGCUGCUGUUGAGUCACAUGCUUUGAGAACAACUGGUACAGUUAUCAGUCUUGUCUUCACCUGAGUUUUGAGUUGCUGUAAUUUUGUGAUUGUCUUGGGCUGCAUAACAUAAAGAGCUGAAGAUCUGGUACCAAGUUAUUUAAGUUCAUAUCCUGGCUUUGAUAGUUUACUGUCGAUAUGCCGUUGAACAAGUUACUUCUUCAAAUUGUGUUUUGACAACCUUAUUAGACAAGUGUACUACUAACUCCAUUCUGCUUAUUUAUGAGGUACC
rnacentral:lncRNA from 1 species